rnacentral:rRNA from 1 species
UGGGCACUAGGUGUGGGGGACAUUCCACGUUUUCCGCGCCGUAGCUAACGCAUUAAGUGCCCCGCCUGGGGAGUACGGCCGCAAGGCUAAAACUCAAAGGAAUUGACGGGGGCCCGCACAAGCGGCGGAGCAUGCGGAUUAAUUCGAUGCAACGCGAAGAACCUUACCAAGGCUUGACAUGCAUUAGAUCGCGUCAGAGAUGGCGUUUCCCUUCGGGGCUGGUGUACAGGUGGUGCAUGGCUGUCGUCAG